AUAUCUUUCUCCUCCUUUAGGCCAAGAUCGAGUGUAAUAUCUCUUCUUGUCAGUUUAAUAUCUGAUAUACGUGGUUUCGACCUCACAACGAUAUUAAAUUUAUUUUUUGGGGGCGAAUUUACCGUGGCAGUUUGCUACCUGGUUUCUCAAGUGUCGCCCAAGCCUUGCACUAUUGCUUUGGGCUUGGCGCACCCCAA